ACGCAAUAGAUACCCAGGUAGUCCACGCCCUAAACGAUGUCAACUAGUUGUUGGGGAUUCAUUUCUUCAGUAAACGUAGCUAAACGCGUGAAGUUGACCGCCUGGGGAGUACGGUCGCAAGAUUAAAACUCAAAGGAAUUGACGGGGACCCGCACAAGCGGUGGAUGAUGUGGAUUAAAUUCGAUGCAACGCGAAAAACCUUACCUACCCUUGACAUGCCACUAACGAAGCAGAGAUGCAUCAGGUGCCCGAAAGGGAAAGUGGACACAGGUGCUGCAUGGCUGUCGUCAGCUCGUGUCGUGAGAUGUUGGGUUAAGUCCCGCAACGAGCGCAACCCUUAUCUUUAGUUGCUACGCAAGGGCACUCUAGAGAGACUGCCGGUGACAAACCGGAGGAAGGUGGGGAUGACGUCAAGUCCUCAUGGCCCUUAUGGGUAGGGCUUCACACGUCAUACAAUGGUGCGUACAGAGGGUUGCCAACCCGCGAGGGGAGCUAAUCCCAGAAAACGCAUCGUAGUCCGGAUCGUAGUCUGCAACUC
rnacentral:rRNA from 1 species